UACGGAGGGUGCAAGCGUUAUCCGGAUUCACUGGGUUUAAAGGGUGCGUAGGUGGGUCUGUAAGUCAGUGGUGAAAUCCCCGAGCUUAACUUGGGACUGCCGUUGAUACUAUAGAUCUUGAAUAUCGUGGAGGUAAGCGGAAUAUGUCAUGUAGCGGUGAAAUGACUUAGAUAUGACAUAGAACACCAAUUGCGAAGGCAGCUUACUACACGAUCAUUGACACUGAGGCACGAAAAGCGUGGGGAGCAAACAGG
rnacentral:rRNA from 1 species